rnacentral:rRNA from 1 species
ACGGAAGGCAGCAGUGGGGAAUAUUGCACAAUGGGGGAAACCCUGAUGCAGCGACGCCGCGUGAGUGAAGAAGUAUUUCGGUCUGUAAAGCUCUAUCAGCAGGAAAGAAAAUGACGGUACCUGACUAAGAAGCCCCGGCUAACUACGUGCCAGCAGCCGCGGUAAUACGUAGGGGGCAAGCGUUAUCCGGAUUUACUGGGUGUAAAGGGAGCGUAGACGGCUUUGCAAGUCUGAAGUGAAAGCCCGGGGCUCAACCCCGGAACUGCUUUGGAAACUGUAGAGCUAGAGUGCAGGAGAGGUAAGUGGAAUUCCUAGUGUAGCGGUGAAAUGCGUAGAUAUUAGGAGGAACACCAGUGGCGAAGGCGGCUUACUGGACUGUAACUGACGUUGAGGCUCGAAGGCGUGGGGAGCAAACAGGAUUAGAUACCCUGGUA